AACGAACGCUGGAGGCAGGCUUAACACAUGCAAGUCGAGCGCCCCGCAAGGGGAGCGGCAGACGGGUGAGUAAUGCGUGGGAAUCUACCCAUAUCUACGGAAUAACGCAUGGAAACGUGUGCUAAUACCGUAUACGUCCUUCGGGAGAAAGAUUUAUCGGAGAUGGAUGAGCCCGCGUUGGAUUAGCUAGUUGGUGGGGUAAAGGCCUACCAAGGCGAAGAUCCAUAGCUGGUCUGGGAGGAUGAUCAGCCACACUGGGACUGAGACACGGGCCAGACUCCUACGAGAGGCAGCAGUGGGGAAUAUUGGACAAUGGGCGCAAGCCUUAUCCAGCCAUGCCGCGUGAGUGAUGAAGGCCCUAGGGUUGUAAAGCUCUUUCACCGGUGAAGAUAAUGACGGUAACCGGAGAAGAAGCCCCGGCUAACUUCGUGCCAGCCGCCGCCGUAAGAC
rnacentral:rRNA from 1 species